rnacentral:rRNA from 1 species
AGCAGCCGCGGUAAUUCCAGCUCCAAUAGCGUAUAUUAAAGUUGUUGCAGUUAAAAAGCUCGUAGUUGAAUUUCGGAGUUCUACCGUCGGUCGGGCUACCAAGUCUGUACUGGUGUGUAGAAUUCCUACCUUCUGGGGAACUAUCAUGUUAUUAAUUUAGCGUGGUAGGAAACCAGGACCUUUACCUUGAAAAAAUUAGAGUGUUCAAAGCAGGCUUAUGUCUGAAUACAUUAGCAUGGAAUAAUAGAAUAGGACGGUGGUCCUGUUUUGUUGGUUUCUGAAUCACCGUAAUGAUUAAUAGGGAUAGUUGGGGGCAUUAGUAUUCAAUUGUCAGAGGUGAAAUUCUUGGAUUUAUUGAAGACUAACUUCUGCGAAAGCAUUUGCCAAGGAUGUUUUCAUUAAUCAAGAACGAAAGUUAGGGGAUCGAAGACGAUCAGAUACCGUCGUAGUCUUAACCAUAAACUAUGCCGACUAGGGAUCGGACGAUGUUAAAUUUUAUUGACUCGUUCGGCGCCUUACG